GACGAACGCUGGCGGCGUGCUUAACACAUGCAAGUCGAACGGAAAGGCCCCUUUGGGGGUACUCGAGUGGCGAACGGGUGAGUAACACGUGAGUAACCUGCCCUUGACUUCGGGAUAACUUCAGGAAACUGGGGCUAAUACCGGAUAGGAAUCCUUGCUGCAUGGUGGGGGUUGGAAAGCUUCGGCGGUUUUGGAUGGACUCGCGGGUUAUCAGCUUGUUGGUGGGGUAGUGGCUUACCAAGGCUUUGACGGGUAGCCGGCCUGAGAGGGCGACCGGCCACAUUGGGACUGAGAUACGGCCCAGACUCCUACGGGAGGCAGCAGUGGGGAAUAUUGCACAAUGGGCGGAAGCCGGAUGCAGCAACGCCGCGUGCGGGAUGACGGCCUUCGGGUUGUAAACCGCUUUCAGCAGGGGCGAAGCUUGUGGUGACGGUACCUGCAGAAGAAGCACCGGCUAACUACGUG
rnacentral:rRNA from 1 species